CUGUCCGCGCCUGCUCCCGUUCCCACAGCCCUGUAUCUUACCCCUAGCGCGCACUCCGCACACGGGCUUCUCCGUACCCGAGCUUCGCCUUCACGCCCAGGGCCCUCGGCUCCGCCGCGCUCCCGGCACCGCCACAUUGUCCCCCAGCGCCCCCCCCCGCCUGGGACCGCUCCUCAAGUCCUACCGUUUAACGGUCGCCGAGGCGCGCGCCUCACUCCCGCCCCCUGCUGGCGGCUGCUGGCGCGAGCGGCAGCGCGCGGGCGCCGUUGCCGUUAGCGCCGUUUCCAGCCGCUGCCACCGCAGGGAGGAGGCGGGGCCCGGCCGCACUCUAAGAUGGCGGCACCGGGCCCACGUGGUGCCGGCUGAGGGGAAACGGGGCGUUUUCUGGUGACAUGGCGGCAGCGGCAGCAGCCGGCAUGGAGGAGCACGAUGAAGCUGAGGAAGAAGAGGUGGAGGAGCAACUGGUCAUGGUGGAACUGUCAGGAAUUAUUGAUUCAGACUUCCUAGAGAAAUGUGAAAACAAAUGCAAGAUUUUGGUGAGUGAUUACAGCACAGUAGGAAAGGGGGAAUAGAGACAGAGAGACCCAUUUUACAAGUGGACAGAUAUGUAUUUGCAGGAGAAUAUGAAGAUACCUUGGGAACCUGUGUGGUUUUUGAAGAGAACACAGAGCACGUAGAUGCAGAAGGCAACCAAAAAGUACAGCUGAAAUACAAGUGCCACACAGUGAAGAAGUUGAACAUGACGCGGACACUUUUGACAGAAAAGAAGGAAGGAGAAGAGAAUGUUGACGGAGUGGAGUGGUUGCAGAUCAAGGACAGAGAUUUUUCCUACAGCAGGCCUAGUACGAUUUGCAGCUUCCUGCGUGAAAAAGAAGAUUCUGAGGAGUCUGCUCAGGCCCACGACAAAUUGACUGAGGAGUCAGAGGGAGAGGUGAGUGGUGGAAGAAAUUCUGACAUGAAUUGUGAUCUGGAGAAGCAGCACAGCUUGGAAAUGGAUGUCUCUAUUCCUCUGCCUGACAGCCCUGCUUCUGGGGCAGAGGAUUCUCCUUCUGGAAGUGUUGUCUUAGAUGAUGCCCCUCCAUGACAGCAACUCUGAUCUUUUCAGGACUUGUUCAUGGAGUUAAUGGGCCAACUUUUAUAAGCCAUGACAUGAUUUCCAAUUUAUCUGAGCAAUUAUUAAUGGAAAAAUGGACAUUGUGUUCUUGUGCAUUGCUUUUAUGUUUGGCUUAUAGUGGGAAGGGCUUAAGCGUUUGGUUUGUUUUUGGUUUUUUUUUUAAAUGCUGAUUGGAAACAUGUAUCUCUCUCAGAAUUGAAGAGGAAAUGGUUACAUAAUUAAACCCCCCCUACCUUAGAAAAAUGUUGAUGUAUUGAACAGUCUGGAACAUUUGGUAAAAAGGACCAAAAAAUCAUCUGAAAUAAAGACCUGAAUUUUUCAAAUA